rnacentral:lncRNA from 10 species
GUCGUCCACUCCCCUGGGCCUUUCUCCGCGAGCCCUCCCACGCCGCCCGCUCCUCUCCCGGGGCGAAGGGCGGGGACGAGGCGCGCCGAAGCCCCGAGCUGAAGAGAAGGGUGGGGGCAUGAGGGCGCUGGAGUGAGGAACAGAUUGGAGCCUUCCCACUUCCUCUCCAAUCUCAGCCCCCGGGAGGAGGGGUGAGGCCCUCGAGGGGGCCCGGAGUUAAGGAGGAAUAGACCGUUUCUCUCUCUCCUGUCUCCCCCGCCUCUGCCCGUCUUCCCUCUAAGCCGGCCUCUAGGUGCAGAGGCUGACGUCCAGGAUGGGGACCGGGGAAGCCUCUGGAGGGUAUAUCCGGGAAGGCACCAAGGCUGAAGUGAGAGCGGUUCUGGGGAAGGCUUUAAAAAGCAGAUAUGGACCAGGGUAGAGUUCGUACGCUGUAGCUUUUCAAGAACACCGAUCUCAUUAAUUAAAGAACAGCAACUAUUUAAUUCCAGUUAUAAACUAUUGUUUUCCAGUUAGUCUGGAAAGAUGCAGUCUAGCACCUCAGUUAAGAAUAUGGACUCUAAAGUCAGACUGCCAGGCUUCAAAUUCCAGUUCUGCGACCUCAGCAAAGUUACUUAACCAAGCUCUCAGUGCCUUGUUUUCUUCAUCUGUAAAAUGAGGAUGACGUCACAGCAUUGUUGAGAGAAUUAAUACAGGCUCCAGACUUGUGAAUGGAGAAGUGUUGAGGUGACCCCAGCUCCAGCCACCAGCUGACGACAACCAUACCGGAGAUCCUGAGAGCUGCCUAGCUGACCCCAGGCACCCCCCAGACUUCAUGUAAGCUGUUUGAAGCCGAGGACUUUGUCUGUUUUGUUCACUCCCAAUAGAUUCAGCACUUAGAAGAAUGCCAGGCAGGCUUUCCCCACCAACCAAGAUGGAAUAACAGGGAAAAGACAUACCCUUCUAUCUUCAAUAAUUGGAAACCCAGACAAAGUUUAUGAAACGCUGGUUUUCAAGACAUAGGACAUCAGACAAUCAAGGACAGUAAACACUGAGAUGGGAAACAAACAAGGUGAGUACUGCAAUUGCCCAACAUUACUAGCUGGAAAGAGUUUCCCGACCAUGGCAGAGGGAGGAGGAUCCUUUGAGGUUCUGUGGUGUCCCUGAGUUGAGGAGACAAAGUUGAAAUUCCAGAGUGGUCAAGGCAGCUGGAGUUUGUAGAGCAGAGUACCAGAAAGAAAAUAGAUGCACAGAGAGAACCUCAGAGAUCUGCAAAAGAUCUCAGCUCUUCAGCUGUGCACCUAUCAGUACAUGCAUGUGACAAAGCACCCCAAGGCCAGGGGAAGAAUCACCUGAAAGUAUGAAGAGAAGAAUACUUGGAGCAUAUACAAACCAGGAAUAAUUUCAGUUCUCACCAGCCAAAUUGGAAGACCCCAUAGAUAACAGGCAUUAGGUAGAGCAGGGGUCCCCAACCUCCAGGGGCACUGACCAGUACUGUUCAUGGCCUGUUAGGAACUGGGCUGCACAGCAGGAGGUGAGCGGCAGGCUAGCCAGCAAACCUUCAUCUGUAUUUAUAGCUCCCAUCACUUGCAUUACUCCCCAUCACUCCCCAUCACUUGCAUUACCACCUGAGCUCCACCUCCUCUCAGAUCAGCAGCAGCAUUAGAUUCUCAUAGGAGUGUGAACCCUACUGUGAACUGCACAUGCAAGGGAUCUAGGUUGUGCACUGUUUAUGAGAAUCUAAUGCCUGAUGAUCUGAGGUGCAGCUGAGGCAGCAUAGCUAGGAGGUAGGUAUUUUGUUGCUGGGGACUCAUAUCAAAACCCUAUCAGUGAGUGGCAAGUGACAAUUAAGCUGCAUCUGGUGGCAGACUUUAUAGAGGCAAGUGAGUCAAUGUAUUUCAAUUGCACAGCUCUAUCUGGUGGCAAGUUUUAAGUCAGAAUCUGACACUUAAUUUAGUCUGUGCAUGGCCUGCCCAUUAUUUUAUUUACCACUUCUGUCUGUGCCUCUUUGCUGCACUGAACACUUGUCUCAGUCACAGUUUUGGUAAGCCCACAAGCUAACCCUAGCUAAAAUGAGUAAAAAGCAAACGACACUGGAGAGCUUCUUUGAAAAGUCAGAGAGACCCAAUGAUGAGACAGCAGAAGACUCUUAAGACUGCCAACAAAAAGAAAGCUGCACUUAAAAGAAAAUACCAGACUGGGCGUGGUGGCUCACACCUGUAAUCCUAGCACUUUGGGAGGCUGAAGCAGGUGGAUCCCUUGAGGCCAGGAGUUUGAGACCAGCCAAGCCAACAUGGUGAAACCCAUGUUUCUAAAAAAAAAAAAAAAAAAAAUUAGCCGGGAAUGGUGGUGCGUGCCUGUAAUCUGAGCUACUCAGGAGCCCACUUUGUAUAUUAUGUGCUGACCCACUAUUCAAGGAAGCCAUGAAAACUUCAAAACUGCUUCACCACCUGGAGACCAAGCACCCUGCAUUAAAAGACAAGCCUUUGGAGUUUUUCUAAAGAAAAAACAUGAACACAGAGAACAGAAGUAAUUAUUGAAGGCCACUACUUCAUUAAGUGUGUCUGUACUGAGAGCAUCGUUCCUAGUGGCUAACCACGUUAUUAGGCUAAGAAGCCCUUUAGUAUUGGUGAAGAGUUGAUCCUGCCUGCUGCUAAGGACAUUUGUCAUGAACUUUUAGGAGAGGCUGCUGUUCAAAAGGUGGCACAUGUUCCUCUUUCAGCUAACACCAUAACUAGAAGAAUGGAUGAAAUAGCAGAGAAUAUUGAGGCACAAUUGUUAGAGAGGAUUAAUGAGUCACCGUGCUACACAAUCCACAAAAGGGUUUUGUCCCAGAAAUAGACUCAUACAUAUAUGAUCAGUGAUUUUCAACAGUGGUACAAAUGCAAGUCAGCGCAGAAAAAAUAAUCUCUUCAACAAAUGGUGCAGGAACAAUUGGAUAUCCAUAAAAUGAACUCGGAUCCACGCUUUGCACCAUAUGCAAAAAUUGACUCAAAAUAGGUAUAGGUCCUAGACCUAAAUGUAACAACCUGAAACUCUAAAAUUUCUCAGGAAAAAAAUGGGAUAAAAUCUUUGUGGUCUUGGAUUAGGCAAAGAUAUUUUCUUGUGUUUGUGGGUAAAGAAACCUUUAAUGAGGGUUCAAGGUGUAAGAGGAGGACCUUGUAGAGAGCCAGCGCUUAGCCCCAGCCUCCUCAUAUGCACAUGGCUCUGUAGAGGUUCUCCAGACAGUGCUGCUGCUGCUGUUUCGAGCCUUAUCUCCUCUGUGCUCCUC